rnacentral:ncRNA from 1 species
UGACCGGUCCUUUCGAACUUUCAGUUCUUCUGGAUUGCAGCCCAGGAGGGCACACUGGAGCAACCUUUCGAAUUGUAGUUGAAUCCAUGGGCAAGAAAGAGAGAACAAGGUGAACUGAAAGACCUUAGUAUCCAGAGGAAUAAAAAGCAAAAGUGAUUCCCGUAGUAGCGGCGGGCGAAAUGGGAGCUGCCUAAACUGUGAAAACGGGGUUGUGGGAGAGCAAUACAAGCGUCGUGCAUCUAGGUGAAGCACCCCGAAUGAAAGCGUAAGCUCCUAAGCAGUGAGAGGAGCCAGGGCUCUGACCUCGUGCCUGUUGUAGAAUGAGCCGGUGACUCAUAGGCAGUGCCUUGGUUAAAGGAACCCACCGGAGCCGUAGCGAAAGCGAAUCUUCAUAGGGCAAUUGUCACUGCUUAUGGACCCGACCCUAGGUGAUCUAUCCAUGACUAGGAUGAAGUUUAGGUGAAACUAAGUGAAGGUCCAACCGACUGAUGUUGAAGAAUCAACGGGUGAAUUGUAGUUAGGGGUGAAAUGCCACUCGCACCUAGAGCUAGCUAGUUCAACCAAAAUUGCGUUGAGGCGCAGUAGUUGACUGGAUAUCUAGGGGUAAAGCACGGUUUUGGUGCAGGCCACGAAAGCGGUACCAAAUCGAGAUAAACUCUGAAUACGAGAUAUGACCUCAAAAUAACAGGGUGGCAAGGUCGACUAGUGAAACGAUGGGGGAUAAGCCUCAUCGUCAAGAGGGAAAGAGCUUGGAUCAUAGCUAAGGCCCCUAAAUGACUGCUCAGUGAUAAAGGAGGUAGGGGUGCAGAUAUAGCCAGGAGGUUUAACUAGAAGCAGCCACCCUUGAAAGAGUGUGUAAUAGCUCACUGAUCGAGCGCUCUUGCGCCGAAGAGGAAAGGGGCUAAGCGAUCUGCCGAAGUUGUGGGAUGUCAAAACACAUCGAUAGGGAUAUUUGAAUUCCUUGUCCACUCUUUCCAGUAUUUUCCGAAAAACAGCAAUUAGGAAUAGAAAAUAUAUAUCAAAGAAAGGUCUAACUAUUGGAAUCAUUUUUUCCAUUGCUAUUUGAUACAUAUCGGUCAUU